AUUGAACGCUGGCGGCAGGCCUAACACAUGCAAGUCGAGCGGAUGAAGGGAGCUUGCUCCUGGAUUCAGCGGCGGACGGGUGAGUAAUGCCUAGGAAUCUGCCUGGUUGUGGGGGAUAACGUCCGGAAACGGGCGCUAAUACCGCAUACGUCCUGAGGGUGAAAGUGGGGGAUCUUCGGACCUCACGCUAUCAGAUGAGCCUAGGCCGGAUUAGCUAGUUGGUGGGGUAAUGGCCUACCAAGGCGACGAUCCGUAGCUGGUCUGAGAGGAUGAUCAGUCACACUGGAACUGAGACACGGUCCAGACUCCUACGGGAGGCAGCAGUGGGGAAUAGUGGACAAUGGGCGAAAGCCUGAUCCAGCCAUGCCGCGUGUGUGAAGAAGGUCUUCGGAGUGUAAAGCACUUUAAGUUGGGAGGAAGGGCAGUAAGUUAAUACCUUGCUGUUUUGACGGUACCAACAGAAUAAGCACCGGCUAACUUCGUG
rnacentral:rRNA from 1 species